rnacentral:rRNA from 1 species
CUACGGGUGGCUGCAGCAGGGAAUAUUGCACAAUGGACGGAAGUCUGAUGCAGCGACGCCGCGUGGAUGAUGAAGGCCCUCGGGUUGUAAAAUCCUUUUCAGGGGGACGAGGAAGGACGGUACCCUUGGAAUAAGCGUCGGCUAACUACGUGCCAGCAGCCGCGGUAAGACGUAGGACGCAAGCGUUAUCCGGAUUUACUGGGCGUAAAGCGUCUGUAGGCGGAAUGGUAAGUUGGACGUGAAAGCUCCGGGCUCAACUCGGAGAGGUCGUUCAAUACUGCCAAACUAGGGGGCAUCAGAGGAGCGUGGAAUUUCCGGUGUAGCGGUAAAAUGCGCAGAUAUCGGAAGGAACACCAAUGGCGAAGGCAGCGCUCUGGGAUGAACCUGACGCUAAGAGACGAAAGCUAGGGGAGCGAACAGGAUUAGAUACCCCAGUAGUC